rnacentral:rRNA from 1 species
GGAAUUACUGGGCGUAAAGAGCUCGUAGGUGGUUUGUCGCGUUGUUCGUGAAAUCUCACGGCUUAACUGUGAGCGUGCGGGCGAUACGGGCAGACUUGAGUACUGCAGGGGAGACUGGAAUUCCUGGUGUAGCGGUGGAAUGCGCAGAUAUCAGGAGGAACACCGGUGGCGAAGGCGGGUCUCUGGGCAGUAACUGACGCUGAGGAGCGAAAGCGUGGGGAGCGAACAGGAUUAGAUACCCUGGUAGUCCACGCCGUAAACGGUGGGUACUAGGUGUGGGUUUCCUUCCUUGGGAUCCGUGCCGUAGCUAACGCAUUAAGUACCCCGCCUGGGGAGUACGGCCGCAAGGCUAAAACUCAAAGAAAUUGACGGGGGCCCGCACAAGCGGCGGAGCAUGUGGAUUAAUUCGAUGCAACGCGAAGAACCUUACCUGGGUUUGACAUGCACAGGACGCCGGCAGAGAUGUCGGUUCCCUUGUGGCCUGUGUGCAGGUGGUGCAUGGCUGUCGUCAGCUCGUGUCGUGAGAUGUUGGGUUAAGUCCCGCAACGAGCGCAACCCUUGUCUCAUGUUGCCAGCGGGUAAUGCCGGGGACUCGUGAGAGACUGCCGGGGUCAACUCGGAGGAAGGUGGGGAUGACGUCAAGUCAUCAUGCCCCUUAUGUCCAGGGCUUCACACAUGCUACAAUGGCCGGUACAAAGGGCUGCGAUGCCGCGAGGUUAAGCGAAUCCUUUUAAAGCCGGUCUCAGUUCGGAUCGGGGUCUGCAACUCGACCCCGUGAAGUCGGAGUCGCUAGUAAUCGCAGAUCAGCAACG